AGUCGCACGGGCAGGGCAACCUGUCAGUGGCGGACGGGUGAGUAACGCGUAGGAAUCUAUCCUUGGGUGGGGGACAACCGUGGGAAACUACGGCUAAUACCGCAUGAUCCCUGAGGGGCAAAGGCGAAAGUCGCCUGAGGAGGAGCCUGCGUCUGAUUAGGUAGUUGGUGGGGUAAAGGCCUACCAAGCCUGCGAUCAGUAGCUGGUCUGAGAGGAUGAUCAGCCACACUGGGACUGAGACACGGCCCAGACUCCUACGGGAGGCAGCAGUGGGGAAUAUUGGACAAUGGGCGAAAGCCUGAUCCAGCAAUGCCGCGUGGAUGAAGAAGGUCUUCGGAUUGUAGAGUCCUUUUGGCGGGGACGAUGAUGACGGUACCCGCAGAAUAAGCUCCGGCUAACUUCGUGCCAGCAGCCGCGGUAAUACGAAGGGGGCAAGCGUUGUCCGGAAUGACUGGGCGUAAAGCGCGCGCAGGCGGUCUUUCGCGUCUGGGGUGAAAGGUCAGGGCUCAACCCUGACAUGGCCUUGGAAACGGGGAGACUUGAGGGUCGGAGAGGUCAGGGGAAUUCCAUGUGUAGCGGUGAAAUGCGUAGAUAUGUGGAGGAAUACC
rnacentral:rRNA from 1 species